UACAGAGGCCUCAAGCGUUGUUCGGAAUUACUGGGCGUAAAGGGUGUGUAGGUGGUGAUGCAAGUCAGAUGUGAAAGCCCUGGGCUUAACCCGGGAACUGCAUUUGAUACUGCAUUGCUAGAGUGCGGAAGAGGAGAGCGGAAUUCCUAGUGUAGGAGUGAAAUCCGUAGAUAUUAGGAGGAAUACCGAUGGCGAAGGCAGCUCUCUGGUCCGUAACUGACACUGAGACACGAAAGCGUGGGUAGCAAACAGGAUUAGAUACCCUAGU
rnacentral:rRNA from 1 species